GACGAACGCUGGCGGCGUGCUUAAUACAUGCAAGUCGAACGGAAAGGUCCUGCUCUUGUGGGGUGCUCGAUUGGGGAACGGGUGUGUAACACGUGAGUAACCUGCCCCUGACUUUGGGAUAACUUUAGGAAACUGGGGCUAAUACCCGAUAGGACCUCCUGCUCCAUGGGGGUGGUUGGAAAGAUUCGGCGGUUGUGGAUGUACUCGCGGCUUCUCAGCUGGUUUGUGGAGUAGUUGCUUACCAAGGUUUUGACGGGUAGCCGGCCUGAGAGGGGUGACGGCCACAUUGGGACUGCGAUACGGCCCAGACUCCUACGGGAGGCAGCAGUGGGGAAUAUUGCGGAAUGGGCGGAAGCCUGAUGCAGCAACGCCGCGUGCGGAAUGACCGCCUUCGGGUUGUAAACCGCUUUCGCCUGUGACGAAGCGUGAGUGACGGUAAUGGGUCAAGAAGCACCGGCUAACUACGUG
rnacentral:rRNA from 1 species